CAAGGCAAGGUAAGGCAAGGCAAGGAAAGGCAGGGAAAGGCAAGGUAAGGCAAAUCAAGGAAAGGCAGGGAAAGGCAAGGUAAGGCAAAUCAAGGAAAGGCAGGGAAAGGCAAGGUAAGGCAAAUCAAGGACAGGCAGGGAAAGGCAAGGUAAGGCAAAUCAAGGAGAGGCAGGGAAAGGCAAGGUAAGGCAAAUCAAGGAGAGGCAGGGAAAGGCAAGGUAAGGCAAAUCAAGGAAAGGCAGGGAAAGGCAAGGUAAGGCAAAUCAAGGAGAGGCAGGGAAAGGCAAGGUAAGGCAAAUCAAGGAAAGGCAGGGCAAGGCAAGGUAAGGCACAAAGGUUGGUUAUCGACUCCCUUUUCUUUUCUCAAGCCGCCUCGCCUCUGUAAUUUCCUUCUCAAUUAGCUUCUCCACUUCUCUCGUAUAUUUGCGGCAGAAAAAAAGAGCGACCAAGAAUAUCCGGCACAACUAAAAAUCUAUUUCUGGUUUAUGUGGAGUGAAAAAUCCAAUAACUGGGUCACCUUAAUAUACAGUAAACAAAAUAAAUGAAUAA